CCUACGGGAUGCAGCAGUGAGGAAUAUUGGUCAAUGGACGAGAGUCUGAACCAGCCAAGUAGCGUGAAGGCUGACUGCCCUAUGGGUUGUAAACUUCUUUUAUAUGGGAAUAAAAUGUUCCACGUGUGGGAUUUUGUAUGUACCAUAUGACUAAGGAUCGGCUAACUCCGUGCCAGCCGCCGCGGUAAUACGGAGGAUCCGAGCGUUAUCCGGAUUUAUUGGGUUUAAAGGGAGCGUAGGUGGAUUGUUAAGUCAGUUGUGAAAGUUUGCGGCUCAACCGGAAAAUUGCAGUUGAAACUGGCAGUCUUGAGGACAGUAGAGGUGGGCGGAAUUCGUGGUGUAGCGGUGAAAUGCUUAGAUAUCACGAAGAACUCCGAUUGCGAAGGCAGCUCACUGGACUGCAACUGACACUGAGGCUCGAAAGUGUGGGUAUCAAACAGGAUUAGAUACCCGUGUAGUC
rnacentral:rRNA from 1 species